rnacentral:rRNA from 1 species
AUUGAACGCUGGCGGCGUGCCUAACACAUGCAAGUCGAGCGAUGAAGGGGAGCUUGCUCUCUGGAUUAGCGGCGCACGGGUGAGUAACGCGUGGAUAAUCUGCCCAUAGGUUCGGGAUACCAGUUGGAAACGGCUGACAAUACCGGAUAACAUACAAUUUUAUCGAUUGUGUCAAAGGCGGGGUAACCUGUCGCUUAUGGAUGAGUCCGCGUCUCAUUAGCUUGUUGGUGGGGUAAAAGCCUACCAAGGCCAUGAUGAGUAGCCGGCCUGAGAGGGUAAUCGGCCACACUGGGACUGGAACACGGCCCAGACUCCUACGGGAGGCAGCAGUGGGGAAUAUUGCGCAAUGGACGCAAGUCUGACGCAGCGACGCCGCGUGAGGGAUGAAGGCCUUCGGGUUGUAAACCUCUGUCAGGGGGAAUGAACCGCCAUGGGAGUAACUGCCCAUGGUCUGACGGUACCCCCAGAAGAAGCACCGGCUAACUCCGUGCCAGCCGCCGCGUAA